UAGGGAAUUUUCCACAAUGGGCGAAAGCCUGAUGGAGCAAUGCCGCGUGCAGGAUGAAUGCCUUCGGGUUGUAAACUGCUUUUAUGAGGGAAGAUUGUGACGGUACCUCAUGAAUAAGCCUCGGCUAACUCCGUGCCAGCAGCCGCGGUCAUACGGAGGAGGCAAGCGUUAUCCGGAAUUAUUGGGCGUAAAGAGAUGCGUAGGCGGUUCAUCAAGCGAAGUGUGAAAUCUUGUGGCUCAACCACAAGGCUAUGCUUUGAACUGACGAACUAGAGCAUGGUAGAGGUAGCUGGAAUUCCUUGUGUAGGAGUGAAAUCCGUAGAUAUAAGGAGGAACACCGAUGGCGAAGGCAGGCUACUGGACCAUUGCUGACGCUAAGGCUCGAAAGCGUGGGGAGCGAACGGG
rnacentral:rRNA from 1 species